AGAGUUUGAUCCUGGCUCAGGACGAACGCUGGCGGCGUGCCUAAUACAUGCAAGUCGAACGAGAGCGACCGGUGCUUGCACUGGUCAAUCUAGUGGCGAACGGGUGAGUAACACGUGGGUAACCUGCCCAUCAGAGGGGGAUAACAUUCGGAAACGGAUGCUAAAACCGCAUAGGUCUUCGAACCGCAUGGUUUGAAGAGGAAAAGAGGCGCAAGCUUCUGCUGAUGGAUGGACCCGCGGUGCAUUAGCUAGUUGGUGAGGUAACGGCUCACCAAGGCCGUGAUGCAUAGCCGACCUGAGAGGGUGAUCGGCCACAUUGGGACUGAGACACGGCCCAAACUCCUACGGGGGGCAGCAGUAGGGAAUCUUCCGCAAUGGACGCAAGUCUGACGGAGCAACGCCGCGUGAGUGAAGAAGGUUUUCGGAUCGUAAAACUCUGUUGUUAGAGAAGAACAAGUGCUAGAGUAACUGUUAGCACCUUGACGGUAUCUAACCAGAAAGCCACGGCUAACUACGUGCCAGCAGCCGCGGU
rnacentral:rRNA from 1 species